GCGGAGCCCGAAGACCCAGCAUCGUUGCAAACAGCACAACCCCUGUUGCUCCUGGUAACCCUCUCGCAUACUCACGCGCCAUACUAAUUGGGCCCGUUGUCUCUCUCUUGUCUUAGCAGCUAGGUGUCUACUGGGCGCCAUAUGCACCGCAUGAGUCUUUGUGCCUUGUGCCGUUCGCGUGUGGCGUGUUGAGCAUGCGCCUGCGUGUACGCGUGUUUGUCUGUGCGGUUUUUUUGUGCCAGUCCGAGUGAGUCCUGGGCACGUGACCGCUCACAUGGCUCCUGGACCCAGCGCGCGUUAAUCGCUGGCGCGCCCCCCUAUGGGGCGCGUUGAUGCUUCGCGUUGCAUGGACUAGGUAGCAUUGUGCCUCUGUCUUGUCGUUGUCUCGCGUGUGCACACGCAUGAAGCCACGUGGCGACCUCCUGGUCUACAAAAUCCAUCAGACCAGAGAGCGCGCGCCAUCACGGCCAGGAGGGCCCGUGGCUACCUUCGGCGCCUUCUGAUUUCCCAACUUGUCCCAUCAAGUUGGGAUGGAAGGAAUUGCCAACUCCAGGUGGUUGCUGACGUUGUGCGUUCCGUUUUCUCCUC
rnacentral:lncRNA from 1 species